ACGCCUAACACAUGCAAGUCGAACGGACGAGAAGGAGCUUGCUCUUCAAGUUAGUGGCGGACGGGUGAGUAACACGUGAGCAACCUGCCUUUAAGAGAGGGAUAGCUUCUGGAAACGGAUGGUAAUACCUCAUAACACAUCGUUACCGCAUGAUAAUGAUGUCAAAGAUUUAUCGCUUAAAGAUGGGCUCGCGUCUGAUUAGAUAGUUGGUGAGGUAACGGCUCACCAAGUCGACGAUCAGUAGCCGGACUGAGAGGUUGAACGGCCACAUUGGGACUGAGACACGGCCCAGACUCCUACGGGAGGCAGCAGUGGGGAAUAUUGCACAAUGGGGGAAACCCUGACGCCAGCGAUGCCGCGUGGAGGAAGAAGGUUUUCGGAUUGUAAACUCCUUUUGUCAGGGAAGAUAAUGACUGUACCUGACGAAUAAGCUCCGGCUAACUACGUGCCAGCAGCCGC
rnacentral:rRNA from 1 species